UCAAGCUAGAAAGAGCACAGGGUGGAUGCCCUGGCACCAACCGCCGAAGAAGGACGUGGCAAGCUGCGAAAAGCUACGGGGAGCCGCAAGCAGGCAUUGAGCCGUAGACAUCCGAAUGGGGAAACCCGGUGGAGUGAAGCUCCAUCACCGCAACAUGAAUACAUAGUGUUGCGGAGGGCACCCGGCGAACUGAAACAUCUAAGUAGCCGGAGGAAGAGAAAGAAAACUCGAUUACCUUAGUAGCGGCGAGCGAAAUGGUAAGAGGCCAAACCGAUUGACUACGGUCGGUCGGGGUUGCGGGGUCGUAUAAUCGAAAUAGUUCUAGUCGAAGACCGAAGGAAAGCGGUUCCAGAGAGGGUAAUAGGCCCGUAGACGAAAGGAUGAAAUAGAGACGACUACCAGAGUACCGCAGGACACGAGGAAUCCGGCGGGAAGCCGGAGGGACCACCCUCCAAGCCUAAAUACGGUUGGUGACCGAUAGCGCAUAGUACCGUGAGGGAAAGGUGAAAAGAACCCCGGGAGGGGAGUGAAAGAGAACCUGAAACCCUGUGUUUACAAGCAGAGAAAGCACGGUUUAAAGUGCGAUCUCGUACCUUUUGUAGAAUGGACCGGCGAGUUACGUUAUGCAGCGAGGUUAAGGACUACAGGUCUGGAGCCGAAGUGAAAGCGAGCAUGAAUAGUGCGGCAAGUUGCAUGACGUAGACCCGAAACCAGGUGACCUAUCCAUGGGCAGGUUGAAGUGGUGGUAGAACACCAUGGAGGACCGAACCAGACGUCUGUUGAAAAAGGCGGGGAUGACCUGUGGAUAGCGGAGAAAUUCCAAUCGAACUUGGAUAUAGCUGGUUCUCCUCGAAAUAGCUUUAGGGCUAGCCUCGUGUUAGUGAAUAGGAGGUAGAGCACUGAAUGAGCUAGGGGGCCACAAAGCUUACCGAACUCUAUCAAACUUCGAAUGCCUGUUAAACGAUGCACGGGAGUCAGACUGCGAGUUAUAAGAUCCGUAGUCAAAAGGGAAACAGCCCAGAUCGACAGCUAAGGCCCCUAAGUGAUGGUUAAGUGGAAAAGGAUGUGGAAUUGCACAGACAACCAGGAUGUUGGCUCAGAAGCAGCCAUUCAUUUAAAGAGUGCGUAAUAGCUCACUGGUCGAGUGAUUGUGCGCCGAAGAUUCAACGGGGCUAAAACCAUCCGCCGAAGCUUCGGGAUCAUCGAAAGAUGAUCGGUAGAGGAGCAUUGUAUAAGCGCGGAAGCUGGAGCGAAAGCACCAGUGGAGUUUAUAGAAGAGAGAAUGCCGGUAUGAGUAACGAGAUGUAAGCGAGAAACUUACACGUCGAAAGCCCAAGGAUUCCUGGGGAAGGUUCAUCCGCCCAGGGUAAGUCGGGGCCUAAGCCGAGGACGAUAGUCGUAGGCGAUGGAAAACAGGUUGAGAUUCCUGUACCGCCCAUAUGAGUGAUGCAUUGACACAGAAGGAUAGCAUGAGCCGGUUGAUGGUAGAGCCGGUCGAAGAGCGUAGGCUGCUUGGUAGUGAAGUACGCCAGGCGAAAGGCUGAAACUUGAUAGGGAGCGAAAAUAAGUAGCGAAGCAUGCGAAUCCCCGCUGGCGAGAAAAGAUGCUGGCAAUGAUAUGGGCGCCCGUACCGCAAACCGACGCAGGUGGGCGAGGAGAGAAUCCUAAGACGAACGAGAGAACUCUUGUUAAGGAACUCGGCAAAAUGACCACGUAACUUCGGGAGAAGUGGUGCCUCGAAAGAGGCCGCAGAGAAUAGGCCCAAGCGACUGUUUAGCAAAAACACAGGUGUUUGCGAAAGCGAGAGCUGAAGUAUAAGCGCUGACGCCUGCCCGGUGCUGGAAGGUUAAGAGGAGUUGUCAGGCAACGAAGCAGCGAAUCGAAGCCCCAGUAAACGGCGGCCGUAACUAUAACGGUCCUAAGGUAGCGAAAUUCCUUGUCGGGUAAGUUCCGACCCGCACGAAUGGCGUAACGACUUGGGUACUGUCUCAACAAGAGACUCGGUGAAAUUGAAGUAUGUGUGAAGAUGCACAUUACCCGCGACUGGACGGAAAGACCCCGUAGAGCUUUACUGUAGCUUAGCAUUGGAUUUCGAUAAUGGAUGUACAGGAUAGGUGGGAGACUGGGAGACUGCGGCGUCAGCUGCAGAGGAGUCGGUGUUGGGAUACCACUCUUCUGUUAUUGAAAUUCUAACAAGCAGCCGUGAACCGGCGCUUGGACCGUGCUAGGUAGGCAGUUUGACUGGGGCGGUCGCCUCCCAAAGAGUAACGGAGGCGCCCAAAGGUU
rnacentral:rRNA from 1 species